UGUUCAGGUGUUGACGGUAUUUAACCAGAAAGCCACGGCUAACUACGUGCCAGCAGCCGCGGUAAUACGUAGGUGGCAAGCGUUGUCCGGAUUUAUUGGGCGUAAAGCGAGCGCAGGCGGUUUCUUAAGUCUGAUGUGAAAGCCUUCGGCUUAACCGGAGAAGUGCAUCGGAAACUGGGAGACUUGAGUGCAGAAGAGGACAGUGGAACUCCAUGUGUAGCGGUGAAAUGCGUAGAUAUAUGGAAGAACACCAGUGGCGAAGGCGGCUGUCUGGUCUGUAACUGACGCUGAGGCUCGAAAGCAUGGGUAGCGAACAGGAUUAGAUACCCUGGUAGUCCAUGCCGUAAACGAUGAAUACUAGGUGUUGGAGGGUUUCCGCCCUUCAGUGCCGCAGCUAACGCAUUAAGUAUUCCGCCUGGGGAGUACGACCGCAAGGUUGAAACUCAAAGGAAUUGACGGGGGCCCGCACAAGCGGUGGAGCAUGUGGUUUAAUUCGAAGCUACGCGAAGAACCUUACCAGGUCUUGACAUACUGUGCUAACCUAAGAGAUUAGGCGUUCCUUUCGGGGACGCAAAUACAGGUGGUGCAUGGCUGUCGUCAGCUCCUGUCGUGAGAUGUUGGGUUAAGUCCCGCAACGAAGCCCAACCCUU
rnacentral:rRNA from 1 species